rnacentral:miRNA from 1 species
UUUUCAGUGUAAGUAUAUCCCAUGUGAUGCUUAGGACAUACUUAUACUAAAA